GAGCGGCAAAAGCUCAAAUUUGAAAUCUGGUACCUUCGGUGCCCGAGUUGUAAUUUGGAGAGGGCAACUUUGGGGCCGUUCCUUGUCUAUGUUCCUUGGAACAGGACGUCAUAGAGGGUGAGAAUCCCGUGUGGCGAGGAGUGCGGUUCUUUGUAAAGUGCCUUCGAAGAGUCGAGUUGUUUGGGAAUGCAGCUCUAAGUGGGUGGUAAAUUCCAUCUAAAGCUAAAUAUUGGCGAGAGACCGAUAGCGAACAAGUACAGUGAUGGAAAGAUGAAAAGAACUUUGAAAAGAGAGUGAAAAAGUACGUGAAAUUGUUGAAAGGGAAGGGCAUUUGAUCAGACAUGGUGUUUUGUGCCCUCUGCUCCUUGUGGGUAGGGGAAUCUCGCAUUUCACUGGGCCAGCAUCAGUUUUGGUGGCAGGAUAAAUCCAUAGGAAUGUAGCUUGCCUCGGUAAGUAUUAUAGCCUGUGGGAAUACUGCCAGCUGGGACUGAGGACUGCGACGUAAGUCAAGGAUGCUGGCAUAAUGGUUAUAUGCCGCCCGUCUUGAA
rnacentral:rRNA from 1 species